GGAAGGAUCAUUACCGAAUCGUCAAACACGGGUUGUUGCUGGCCUCCAAACGGGGCACGUGCACACUCUGUUUACGCAUCCACUCACACCUGUGCACCCUCUGUAGUUCUGUGGAUCGGGAGACACCGUCUUCCUUCCGUGGCUCUACGUCUUUACACACACACCGUAGCGAUGUCUUAUGGAAUGUUUUUUCGCGUUUAACGCAAUACAAUACAACUUUCAGCAACGGAUCUCUUGGCUCUCGCAUCGAUGAAGAACGCAGCGAAAUGCGAUAAGUAAUGUGAAUUGCAGAAUUCAGUGAAUCAUCGAAUCUUUGAACGCACCUUGCGCCCCUUGGUUAUUCCUCGGGGCAUGCCUGUUUGAGUAUCAUGAACACCUCAACUCUCAUGGUCUUCCAUGACGAGCUUGGACUUUGGGGGUUUGCUGGCCAUGCGGGCCGGCUCCUCUUGAAUGAAUCAGCUUGCCAGUGUUUGGUGGCGUCACGGGUGUGAUAACUAUCUACGCUCGCGGUCGUCUGCCAGGUAACCCUCAGCGAUGAAGGUUCAUUGGGGCUCAUAAACGUCUCUCCCUGGCGAGGACAACUUUUGAACGUUCGAUCUCAAAUCAGGUAGGACUACCCGCUGAACUUAAGCAUAUCAAUAAGCGGAGGAAAAGAAACUAACAAGGAUUCCCCUAGUAACUGCGAGUGAAGCGGGAAGAGCUCA
rnacentral:sRNA from 1 species